GAUGAACGCUGACAGAAUGCUUAACACAUGCAAGUCAACUUGAAUUUGGGUUUUUUAACUUAGAUUUGGGUGGCGGACGGGUGAGUAACGCGUAAAGAACUUGCCUCACAGCUAGGGACAACAUUUGGAAACGAAUGCUGAUACCUGAUAUUAUGAUUAUAAGGCAUCUUAGAAUUAUGAAAGCUAUAUGCGCUGUGAGAGAGCUUUGCGUCCCAUUAGCUAGUUGGAGAGGUAACGGCUCACCAAGGCGAUGAUGGGUAGCCGGCCUGAGAGGGUGAACGGCCACAAGGGGACUGAGACACGGCCCUUACUCCUACGGGAGGCAGCAGUGGGGAAUAUUGGACAAUGGACCAAGAGUCUGAUCCAGCAAUUCUGUGUGCACGAUGACGUUUUUCGGAAUGUAAAGUGCUUUCAGUUGGGAAGAAAAAAAUGACGGUACCAACGGAAGAAGUGACGGCUAAAUACGUG
rnacentral:rRNA from 1 species